rnacentral:rRNA from 1 species
UAAAUAGCUUGGGGAAGUCUGGGUUAUGGAGGGGGGAGGUUACGGGAAACGUGUAGCUAAUACCGCGUAGUAUCGAGAGAUUAAAGUGUGGGACCUUCGGGCCACAUGCCAUAGGAUGAGCCCAAGUGGGAUUAGGUAGUUGGUGAGGUAAAGGCUCACCAAGCCGACGAUCUCUAGCUGGUCUGAGAGGAUGACCAGCCACACUGGGACUGAGACACGGCCCAG